AUACGUAGGGGGCGAGCGUUGUCCGGAUUUAUUGGGCGUAAAGGGUGCGUAGGCGGCCUUGUAAGUCAGAUGUGAAAGAUCAUGGCUUAACUGUGGUAAGCAUUUGAAACUGCAGGGCUUGAGUACAGGAGAGGAGAGUGGAAUUCCUAGUGUAGCGGUGAAAUGCGUAGAUAUUAGGAGGAAUACCAGUGGCGAAGGCGACUCUCUGGACUGAUACUGACGCUGAGGCACGAAAGCGUGGGGAGCAAACAGGAUUAGAUACCCUGGUAGUCCACGCUAUAAACGAUGAGUGCUAGGUGUCGGGGGUCAAACCUCGGUGCCGCAGUUAACACAUUAAGCACUCCGCCUGGGGAGUACGUUCGCAAGAAUGAAACUCAAAGGAAUUGACGGGG
rnacentral:rRNA from 1 species